UACAGAGACCACAAGCGUUAUCCGGAUUUAUUGGGCGUAAAGGGUCCGCAGGUGGUUUUGCGCGUCAUGUGUUAAAGCUCUGGGCUCAACCCAGAAAAGGCAUGUGAUACGGCAAGACUAGAGACUGGGAGAGGCACGUGGAAUUGCAGGUGUAGCGGUAAAAUGCGUUCAUAUCUGCAAGAACACCAAAGGCGAAGGCAGCGUGCUGGAACAGUUCUGACACUCAGGGACGAAAGCGUGGGUAGCGAAUGGGAUUAGAUACCCGAGUAGU
rnacentral:rRNA from 1 species